CAGCAGCCACGGUAAUACGAAGGGGGCUAGCGUUGCUCGGAUUUACUGGGCGUAAAGCGCACGUAGGCGGAUCGAUCAGUCAGGGGUGAAAUCCCAGAGCUCAACUCUGGAACUGCCUUUGAUACUGCCGAUCUGGAGUAUGGAAGAGGUGAGUGGAAUUCCGAGUGUAGAGGUGAAAUUCGUAGAUAUUCGGAGGAACACCAGUGGCGAAGGCGGCUCACUGGUCCAUUACUGACGCUGAGGUGCGAAAGCGUGGGGAGCAAACAGGAUUAGAUACCCCGGUAGUCCCUGUCUCUUAUAC
rnacentral:rRNA from 1 species